ACAAUUAUUAAAUAUUUACUGGAAAAUCAUGACGUAACACAAGGAUCUACACAUAAAAUUAUACAACUGCAAAAAGCAGACUUAACUAUUCCAUCCUCACAAUGACCACCAGCUUUACCCAUGCUGAGACAGUGUGCUGCACAAGCUCCGUGGCCUGUGACACUGAAGAGAUCGCAUGUCACCCGACGGAAGCGCAAAUGUUCAUUGCUCUCAAUCACCUGGUCUUCGCCUUUUAAAGGUCCUACGGCACAAAAUGAUUGGGCUGGCCAUCACUGCAGUGACCAUCAACACAGCAAGAAUCAUCAUCAUCACUAUUUUGGAGAACACCUUGGAAUACAUAGGAUGGUAUAUUAAUAAAAAAAAGUUCAGUGUGGAUGUCUUCAACGCACUUUGCCGAAAUGGUCCCCGGUCCGCAGAGCACUGGACUAUAUACUGAUGCCAAUCUACGACUCUGACCAGAGACCUCCAUAACAACCAAUAUCAUCAACCUGUAGAUGUGUGG